AUGGACUUCUCCGGCGAUGUCAAGCAGGCGAUCCCCCGCCCGGCCGUCGCUUUCGGCGGCGUCGGCAGCGCUGGCCCGUCCCCGCUGCUCCGGGGCUGGCGGGAGUUCAGGCGGAGCGGCGCGCCCGUCAGGUUCCUCUGCUUCGAGGGCGGCGCCUGGGCUGAUGUCGUGGGCGAGGCGGCUGUGCCUCUGCGCCGGGCGUUCCUGGACGGGAGGGUGGUCGCCGAGGCCGCGUAUGGCGGCAGGGAGUUCCUGUUCGACUUCUUGCGGAUGGUGCGCAUCGACGCUGGCACCGCCCAGGAGGUCGCCAUGGGCUGGAUUGACGACCGCGGGGCCUGCUUCUUCCCUGUGCCGGACAGCGGGCGGAAGAGGAAGAGGGGCGAGCCUGAGCUGGAGGACGGGGCGUUGUCCGGGGUGGAGGAGGGGUCCGACGAGAGCAGCGACACGGUGGAGUCCGGCAGGGUCAGCAAGGCGGCCCGCGGGGCUUGGGGCAGGGCGGUGAGGCUGGAGGAGACGGACAAGUUCUACCAGGUUGUCAAGAAGCUCUUCCUCAGCGGGAUUGCCCCCCGGGUGGGCGGCGGCGUGGCGAUCACGGCGGUGCACAAGGUCGCCCAGGGUCCCCGGUGCAGGGCUUUCCAGCAGCAGGGACAGCUCCUGGCCGCUGCGCGCGGCGCCGACGGGGGCAAUGCCAAGUUCGCGUGGUACGGCGCGCCGUCGGCGGACGUGGCCGCGGCGGUGGAGCACGGGUUCGGGAGGACCAACAGCCGGGUCCUCGGCCAUCGCGCGCACGGCGACGGCGUCCACCUCUCGCCGCCUCAGUCUCCUUACGCCAGCGCAAUGCUAGCAAAUGCAGAUGAGAACGGCGAGGCGCACAUCGUGCUGUGCCGUGUUCUGAUGGGCCGGCCAGAGGCCAUCCCAGCCGGGUCCUCCCAGCUCCACCCCAGCAGUGACGAUUACGACAGCGCCGUCGACAACAUGCAGAAUCCCCAGUGGUACGUUGUUUGGAGCAAGGAUAUGAACACGAGGAUCCUCCCAGAGUACGUCGUCAGCUUCAAGUGCCCCAGCCUCCAUCAGAUGCAAGGAUCAUCGGGAGCGACCUCCGCCCUAAAGAAGCCUUCGCCGGUGGCUCGUGACAUGUUUCCGACGCUUCUAGCAGAGAUCCAGCGGUUCGUGCCAUCCUCCAAGCUGGAGACAUUGCAGGGGACCUACAAUCGCUUCAAGAAAGGGCAGAUGAAGAAGGAUCAGUUCAUCCGGUUCUUGCGCGCCUUCAUCGGCGACAGGGUGUUGACAGCAGUUGCCAAGAAACUCCGAGGAUACUGA
rnacentral:rRNA from 1 species